CAAAUUAAAGCUUUAUAGCGUUAUUAUUUACAUUAAUAAGGUGAUUGCAAGGUUGCAAUCUAAUUUGA
rnacentral:tRNA from 1 species